rnacentral:rRNA from 2 species
AACCCGUGACAUGCGUGCUAUGCAUGCGGUCGAUCGAGUUCUGAUUAUUGAAAGGUGCUUGCAUCUUGAUUUAAUUUUGAACGAGUGGCGGACGGGUGAGUAACACGUGGGUAACCUGCCCUUAAGUGGGGGAUAACAUUUGGAAACAGAUGCUAAUACCGCAUAAAUCCAAGAACCGCAUGGUUCUUGGCUGAAAGAUGGCGUAAGCUAUCGCUUUUGGAUGGACCCGCGGCGUAUUAGCUAGUUGGUGAGGUAACGGCUCACCAAGGCAAUGAUACGUAGCCGAACUGAGAGGUUGAUCGGCCACAUUGGGACUGAGACACGGCCCAAACUCCUACGGGAGGCAGCAGUAGGGAAUCUUCCACAAUGGACGCAAGUCUGAUGGAGCAACGCCGCGUGAGUGAAGAAGGCUUUCGGGUCGUAAAACUCUGUUGUUGGAGAAGAAUGGUCGGCAGAGUAACUGUUGUCGGCGUGACGGUAUCCAACCAGAAAGCCACGGCUAACUACGUGCCAGCAGCCGCGGUAAUACGUAGGUGGCAAGCGUUAUCCGGAUUUAUUGGGCGUAAAGCGAGCGCAGGCGGUUUUUUAAGUCUGAUGUGAAAGCCCUCGGCUUAACCGAGGAAGUGCAUCGGAACUGGAAAACUUGAGUGCAGAAGAGGACAGUGGAACUCCAUGUGUAGCGGUGAAAUGCGUAGAUAUAUGGAAGACACCAGUGGCGAAGGCGGCUGUCUGGUCUGUAACUGACGCUGAGGCUCGAAAGCAUGGGUAGCGAACAGAUUAGAUACCCUGGUAGUCCAUGCCGUAACGAUGAUGCUAGGUGUUGAGGUUGCCGCCCUUCAUUGCGCAGCUACGCAAUAGCAAUCGCUGGGGGAGUACGACGCAAGUUGAAACCUCAAGGAAUUGA